UACGUAGGAGACGAGCGUUGUCCGGAGUUACUGGGCGUAAAGGGUGCGCAGGCGGCCCUGCGCGUCGCGAGUGAAAUCUCCCGGCUCAACUGGGAGGGUGGUCGCGAGACGGCAGGGCUUGAGGCUCGGUGAGGGGCGUGGAAUUCCGGGUGGAGCGGUGAAAUGCGUAGAGAUCCGGAGGAACACCAACGGCGUAGGCAGCGCCCUAGACGAGACCUGACGCUCAGGCACGAAAGCGCGGGGGAGCGAACAGG
rnacentral:rRNA from 1 species